GGAAUUUCGCCAGGGUCGACCUCCUCCCCGACCUUGACGAAUACGGUCACCCCUUACCUCCUCCCAAGGGUUGACCACCAAAACGGCGCCCGCCGCACCUCCUCCCGCGGCGGGCGUUGUUU
rfam:Mesorhizobium ciceri biovar biserrulae WSM1271, complete genome.